CAUUAUUUGUCAAAAGAAAGCAGUACAUCAUUGUUAUCAUUUGCAACCAGAAAUGAAAAGUGAGAACUUCAUUUUUACUACCAAAUAAAAAUGUUUUAACAUUUAAACAUUCUCGGCUUCUUUGACGAAUUUAAGGGUUAUUCGACUAUACAUGGUGUGUGCAAUCUUUAGAAGAGUGGCAUAUAAAUUGACAAAAUAUUUAUUCUAUAUUACGGGGCUCAUAUUUUGGGGUAAAAAAUGUAAAAAGCGAAACGAUCUUUGAAUAACUAUUUCUUCGGUUUCUAUAGUGAUUAUUGUUCAUCAGACAAGCAAUGUGCAUAGUUAUGACUACAAGAAUGCGUUUAAAACUCUGCAAUUGAUGUUCCGAGGGACUCUGCUAAAAGGAACUGGGCUAAGGUGGUCCGGUAGUGAAUAUGCAUCACUUUUUUUCAAAUUCUUGACUUAACGAGGUGGUUGCUGCCAUUUUAAAGCGUUUUUAUCUCUACACAAAAAGAUUUUCAUUUUAAUGUUAUUUAACUCUUACAUCGUACUGGAAGAGUUAUCUUUCCUAAAACCAACUUUUUCACAAGUAAGGUAAUAAUAGUGCCUGACAACAACAAUGGCGAAGAUAAACAAACGAAGAGACAAGAAUGGCCGAUUCGUGGGUCAAUCACAGACAUGCGAUUUAAACAACAACAACACAAACGAUUUAUCUGAAGUGCAUGCGUUACAUAACCAUGCAUAUUCCUCCAAGAAGAAACCCCAUAUCAAAUGCGUGAGUUUAUCGGCAUCGCCGGUGCUGGAAAUCCCGCCAAGUGACUGUAACCGCUCUGUAAUAUCUUCCAGUGAAAAAGAUAAAACUCAUCCUAAAUGGCAUGGGUGGAUAACAAUGAAACCAGACACAGAUACUGAAGAUGAACAAUAUUUCCAUGAAAAUCCUCGAAAAUAAAUUGGAAAGAAGGCAGACUAGUGGUGGAAAUUGCAUUUAUGGCAUAUCAAGGAUGCACUACAUGCCACCAGCCACUGCAUUUAAAAACUUUGUAGAUGAACAACAUUUUGGUUUGGGGAGCAUUUAUAGUAUUGUAUGCUCCUCCUGCCAAAAUGUCACUUUAAUAUCUUCAGGGAAAAGACAUAAGUACCCAUCGUGUAGAAGACAAAUUCACGAGAAAAUCAGCCUACACUUGGGAUGUCAACACAAAGCUUGCUUCAGGUACAACUGCAAAAAAUGAAAUGCUUGCAUGUUUAAAUAUUCCUGGAAUCUCAACAAAGUCUUUGAAAGCAAGAGAAAGAGAAGUUGGGAAAAAAUUGAAGAAAUUGCAAACACGUCUUCUGAGGAAUAUGCAGCAAAGGAAAUAGAACUUUGUAAUGAUGAUGGGGUAGAUUUGUCCUUUGAUGCAGGAUGGCAGAAGCGUGGUAGAUCCUACAGCAGUUUGUCAGGAAUGGAAUGUGAUAUGGCGGUUAGCAUGCUAAAAGAUCUUGAAGACAAAAACAUUAGCGUGGAAACCAUUGUUAUGGAUGAUGACACAACGACAAUAGCAAGGGCGAGGAAGUUCUAACCAUGCAACGAAACAUUUUACCAACAAAUUAUAUGGUCUACAAAUAGCCAAAAAGUACAGACAGCCAAGUACCAAAACCAUUUCACAUUUGAAAAAGUGUUUCAAUAUUAUCAUUGCAUUGAACAAGAAAAAUCUAGCAAAUUUAAAAUCAAACUUGAAAGCCUCAUUUUUUUGGAGACACAGUCAUUGCAGCGAAAAUUUUGGCUUUGUUUGGAAUCCUGGUAAUUAUAUUCCCAAGAAUUUACCGUACAAGAGAUACCUUAGUGACACUAAGCUGAAAGAUGACCUUCAAGAGACUAUUUUUACAUAUGCAGACAAAGCAGAAAAAUCGGCAAAUUUAGGGAGUUCGCAGUCUAAUGAGAGCUUCAACAACACAGUUGCGUCAAAGGCCCAAAAGCGAAUGCAUUUUUCUGGAUCCGAAAGCACAUCGUUUAGAGUUGCUGCUGCUACUGUCCAGAAAAAACUUAGGAAGUAAUUAUGUGUUGAAGGUAAAUGAAGAACUGCUGUUGUCACCAGGAGAGCACACUAAGAAAGUAUUAGUUCAACAUGAUUUGAAAAGGACAAGGGACUGUGAACGGAAGUAAUCAACUACAUUCAAGAAGAGAAGGUCAUCGUUGAAAUCUAAGAAACAAUCAGCGUUAGAGUGCAAAGAAAUGAGAGAGAGAGUACCACGUAUGCGUCUGGUGUAAACUUGGAAGACUCUUCUACGGCAGAUGAUAUUCAUGAGAUACCUCCUCCAUCAUCCUCGCCAACCAUAUCAACUCUUGCAGAUGGAAAUUAUACGUUCAUCUGCUUUGAUCUGGAGACUACAGGUCUUGGAUUGUCAUCAAUUACGCAAAUAGCUGCAAGCUGUGAGGAAAGACAAUUCAACCAGUAUUUGCUUCCAGAUGAAGAGAUUAUCCAUUCUGCUUCAGCAACAACCGGGAUAUCCUUUGAUGGUAUUGCACUGUACAAGGAAGGAGAGAAGCUUGAUUCUGUACCAUUACCUGAGGCUAUUGCAAGAUUUUCCACUUGGAUGAAAGAGUUCAACAGCCCAGUUCUGGGUAUCCCAUAAUGCCAAGUCUUUUGACUCUGUUGUUUUUAUGAACAGUGUAACCAAAACCUGUUUUAAUUUUGAUUAUAUUAUAGGAUUUGUAGACAGUUUACCCCUAUUUAAAGAUUUAUUACCAGGCAAGAAAAGCUAUUCCCAGUCAUCACUGGUUCACGAUGCAGGUUUGUCUUAUAAAGCUCAUAAUGUAUUAGAUGAUGCCGUUGCCUUAGAGAGCUUUUUGAAGUUUCAUUCUGUUUCAGAGUCCACAAUGUUGAAAUAGUUUUCCAUUGUCUUAUGUUUACAAUGCAUUACAAUAUAGAAAAUCCAAACAUGUAAAUUUCAACUCUCUUUUACGUCUAGUUUCAUCUAAAAUAUUGUCUAAAUUCAUGGCUGCAAAAAUUGCUGCUUCUGUCUUCGGUAUCAACAUCUGAAAUUGUCUUUUGAAAGAAAUGGAUAUGAUGGUAUCGAAGCGUUAUUUAAAGAGUCAAUUGAUGGUUUACAAAGGGUCACAAGAUGCAAAAAAAAAAUCGUUUCAGCUGUUUUUCAGUAUUUUUCAAACUUCCCAAAGGGAGGUUACUUGUAAAACUCCAAAUGUAUUGUUCAAAUAUUUUUUUUUUAAUUUCACCAUCGAACUUUUUUUGGAAUGCUCAAUCUUUAUUACACAUGUAUUUAUUAUUAUUAUGUUAAAAUUUAGAAAUUAUCUUGUGGUUACUUUUUUUCUGUUUUACAUAUUUACAUUUGUGUGACAUAUAUAUUCUUGGUAAUAUUGUGAUAUUUUUCUUUAAAACAGAAAAUGUUAAGUUUUUGUUAUUGUGUUAAUAUUUUGUAAUGUUAUUGGUAUGUUUUUUGCCUGUAUUUAUUUUUCAUAAUUUUUUUUUUUACAAAAUGUGCAAUAUAUUCAGAUGCAAUAAAUGAUAAAAUUAUCGAUGAUUGUGAUGUGGUCUUUCACAUUAAAAUGAAAUUAAGAUUAUAUGAAACAUUUCUGCAAAUUUUGUGAAUUUUGGAGAAUUCUUUUUUUUUUUACCCCCAG